UACGGGGGGGGCAAGCGUUGUUCGGAAUUACUGGGCGUAAAGGGCGCGUCGGCGGCCUGCUAAGUCACACGUGAAAUCCCUCGGCUCAACCGGGGAACUGCGUGUGAUACUGGCGGGCUUGAAUUCGGGAGAGGGAUGUGGAAUUCCAGGUGUAGCGGUGAAAUGCGUAGAUAUCUGGAGGAACACCGGUGGCGAAGGCGGCAUCCUGGACCGAGAUUGACGCUGAGGCGCGAAAGCUAGGGGAGCAAACGGG
rnacentral:rRNA from 1 species